UACGGAGGGGACUAGCGUUGUUCGGAAUUACUGGGCGUAAAGCGCACGUAGGCGGAUUUGUAAGUCAGGGGUGAAAUCCCGGGGCUCAACCUCGGAACUGCCUUUGAUACUGAAGAUCUUGAGUUCGGGAGAGGUGAGUGGAACUGCGAGUGUAGAGGUGAAAAUUCGUAGAUAUUCGCAAGAACACCAGUGGCGAAGGCGGCUCACUGGCCCGAUACUGACGCUGAGGCACGAAAAGCGUGGGGGAGCAAACAGG
rnacentral:rRNA from 1 species